AGUCCAGAGAGGAGUGGGCAGUGUCCUUCUGAAAUGGAUUUUCACAUAGUGGCGUUUUAGAAGGUAUUUAAAUCAUACAGAUCUGACCCAUUCUGGGUAUGGUUUUAUGCAAAGAAGUCUUAUGAAGUUUUCAACAUGGCCGCUAACUUGGGGGCAUUUCAUGGUUCAAAUUUUUGGUCCCUUUCUGAAACUUAAAGGUGCUUCCAAUUAACAAUAACUUUGAACAUUGACCCCUGAAGUAUGGGUAUGCCUCUCCCCCCCCCGGUGGUCUUUCUGUGGAUACACAUGGCAGUCUAUGUGCACGCAACUAAGACAAGCAGAAGUUCACCAGUAUAUUCCCCAGAAAAGGUAUGGCAUUGAUUUAAAACUUCAACAUUAUUUUCCAGGUUGAGAGACUGGAAACAUCAGAGCAAGUAAGCCUAAAAAUAGCCUUGUGUUUUUCUGGUUACUAUAUCUUUCAUAUAGAACUCAAAAUUAGUGAAAAAGAAGACCAAAUGUUAGGAACUUUAAUGGCACAGAAAUAAUGCUUCUUUUUUUGUCUUAUAAACCAGUUCUUUUUUAGAUUUUUUUCUCCCACCAAGUUACUGCUUAAAAAAACAGAAAAUUUAAACUUUCUGGUGGAUUCCUCCCCAUUAAAGGACUAAAAUCGCAUUUUUGUACUCUGUACAUAUCAAUUGGAUUCUUACUGAGCAUUUUAAUUUAUCCUUGAGGUACUUGAUGAGAGCAUCUAAGUUAUAAUUUAGCAUACAGAUAAAAAAUGUAAGAUGAAUGUGCCCAUCCAUAUGAUGAAAUAGUUGUAGUAAAAUGUUAAGAACUAUUUAACUGCUAGGAAAUUAAAAUAUCCUAAAUUAGCAUGUUAAUAGUAUUUAUACUAUUUUUACAUUUUUAUCCAAUCUUGCAUUUCCAAACUGGCAUUAUCUAAAUUAGUUGAACUUUGCAGUGUUCAAAAAAUCUCUGUUUUACUUGAUCUAUUGCAUCUGUGGGCAUAAAGCUUCUAUAUUAUUUGUUCGGCUCAAAGCAGGUUUUAGUACUCAGUGUUGUUUAUGACAUACAAUUUUAUUCUAGCUCUGAAAUAAUUUUCCUUGCUGUGAUUCAGUUUUAAGUCUUUAUAGAAACCCCCUAAUGAAUCACUGAGUCACUAACCAGAAAAAUGAGUUAACUUUUUGCUUCCAAAACAGGACAGUAGGAAGAUAUUUAGGAGCUUAUAAUCUCAUAUCACCAUCAUGGCAAAAUAUUGGAAAUCCAUUUUCUCUUUCACUGAGGUGUCCUGCUGGUUACUUGCACGUGCCCAGAGCCAUAAAGACAGGUUUAUCUCUGGGAAUUUCCCAAAAUGGAAGCAUUUUUGUAUAAUAUUGAUUCAUGUCUGUCUAGCCAAAGAUGUAUUUUCCAUCUAGCAAGAAACAUCAGCCCCAAGUUAUAGGGGUACAAGCUACUCCAAAGACAUCCUGUCUGCUGAGCCCUAAAAAAGGAUACAGACAAGUCAGCCAGCGUUCACAGUUAAGAGAAAAACAUCUGUGCCUCGGAAAAUAUUCUUAAGUACAGAGCAUUGUGCUCUGUGUCCACCAAAUUUCCAUGCAGUCUUUGUAAGGGUAGCCAGCCAGUGGGUAAGGUCCCUCAUCUUCCUUCAUGGGUGGCUGAGGAAAUUCUUUGCCUUCCCCACCAACAACUGCAUAACUGUAUUUUUGACUUGUGGAAAUAAUUGGCUGAUCAGGCACUUGGGAUUUGUUAUUAACACAGGGAAAGAAUAUUUGAUUUUUAAAAGUAUGUGUUUUGAUUUGCAGAAUGAUCCAAAACAAUAUACUUCUUUGUACUUUGGUUUUUCCAUUUAAAAGCUUACAGAUGCAUGAAGUCAUUUGAAACUGCCUGAUGUGAAGUAUAAACACAAGACAGAGAAGUGAAAACUCUGAGUUUACCUACUUAAAUGGUCACCAUUAUUUGGGAUGAUUGACAUUUUAUAAGAAGCUCAGGUUUCAUUUUCCUGGAAGUGGGCUUUUAUCAGCCAGCCCUCACCCGUCCUAAGUGACUUGUCAGCUCUCUUCUAAGACCGCUUGUUUUCACUAAAGGGUAAAUACUUGCCAAGCAAAUUUGCAAAUAUUUAUAAGACAUCUAAUGUCCUAGAGGAAGACUUGCUGAUGAUUAGAUAAAAGGGCCAGCAUUAUUGCUGUUCCCCAAUCAUAUGGACUUUGUGCUUUCGUGACUGAAGAGGCACAUUUUUAACUUGCUGAAAUUGUCACUGAACAACGUGCAGUGAAAUCCAUUCAUCAAGCAUUCUCUUGAACCAUCUCUAAGAGUGACUGACUGCCAACUUUAGGAAGCAAAUACCAAUGUGGAUACUCUCCAAGAUAUCAUCUAUUGAUCAUCUUGGGAUUCAGACUUUCCCACACUGAAUAUGAUGCUGUCAUGAAGCAUUUGCUGGGGCUAACAUGCCAGGUGACUCAGUGGUAAAGAAUCCUUCUACCAGACAUGGCUUCGAUCCCUGGGUCAGGAAGAUCCCUUGCAGUAGGAAAUGGCAACCCACUCCAGUAUUCUUGCUUGGAGAAUCCCAUGGACAGAGGAGCCUGGUGGGCUAUGGUCCAUGGAGUCGCAAAGAGUCGGAUAUGACUGAGUGAGCACGCAUACACGCACGCAACAUAACAUAGCUGUUCUGUACUGUACUUUCUCACUGGGAGGUAUACGAUGUUCUCUGUUUUAUAGAAGAGGACCUACCCCUGAAAAGAUAAGAAAAUUUCCCAGUGACUCAGUGGUAAGUGGUAGAGCCAGGUCUUGAACCCAGGAUCAACACUGAGAGCCCUACUUUCUAUCCUGCCUGCCACAGCUUCCAGAAAAUGGGUCGGUGGCUGAGUUGAAUCAGGUGUUCAGUGGCACAAUGUUCUGUGAUAGGUCAAAGAAAGUUGUUGUUAAAAAAUUACCUAAAUCAUCUUAGUCCUGUCCUUACCUAUGUGACGCUUGUUUGUGCACAUCCAAAUUCAAGUGCUGACAAUUAUUAGAAGUAACAACCAACUUAUUAUUGAAAGCAAGAAAAUUGAGAUCCAUACUAUCAUGUCCACAAAUCAGAUAACUGGCUUAAACAUGUGGGUGAGGGAACCCACUUGCUGUGUAGGUUACUGUUUUUUCCAUCUUUUGUUACUUUUGUCUGUAAGUCAAGAUAAUUUUUUUAAUUAAUUUGUUUUCAAUUUAUUUUGAUUGGGGGAUGAUUAUGAUAUUGUAAUGGUUUUUUUGCCAUACAUCAACAUGCAUUGGCCACAGGUAUACAUGUGUCCCCACUAUCCUGAACCCCUCUCUGACCUCCUUCCCCACCCCAUCCUUCUGGGUUGUCCCAGAGCACUGGCUUUGGGUUCCCUGCUUCACUCAUUGAACUUGCACUCAUCUAUUUUACAUAUGGCAAUAUAGAAAAUAAUUGUAAUACUUAAAUAACUGAUGUAAAGCCCUUGGGUAAAGAGUGUUUAGCAGAUAGUAAGGGCUUGGUUCUUUUUAGCUCCCACUGUCAUCAUCAUCACUGUUUCCUGGAGAAUGUGGACAAGGAUGUGAAGGUGAUGGGGGUGGUUUGGAGUGUGACCUGAGGCUGGGUUGCUGGGCGAAGAUACCUCUGUAGUUAGUAGCUGCCUUGUCUAAGAAGGCAGUUACUGCUAGUUGCCGAAUCUUAUAUUUGAACAAGCUUUCAUCAUUCAGGCUGUUUAAUGAAGAAGGAUUCCGAUGCACCAAAUUUAUUUAGGAGACUUGGUUAAUCCUUGGGGCAUUUAAAGUGAACAAUUUAUAUUUGAGAAAGAUUCCUAUUUGGAGAUAAAUAUUAAUACUCAUUUUGAAAAUAUUCACUAGCUAUUGUGUUGCCCCUUUCUCUUUACUUUUGAAAUAGAAUAACGUAUUCAACCAAGCCUACCAGGGCUGUGCUAACAGUUCAUCCAACCAGAACCACAUUCCGUCUUACCAGUCCGCCAGCUCCUUCAACAAUGACCCCUCUCAUUUCUGGUGCUCAGCUGAGGCCGUAUUCUCGGAGGCUCCCAGCUCUAAGAAAGACGCUGAUGGCACCUCUGAUGACAGCUGGGCACAUGACCUGGGUGUCCUCCCUUUUGCAGCAAUGAUUGAUUCAAGGUUGAAUAUAUAAUACACCUUUGCAGUGAGGCUGAACUGUAAAUCAACCUAGCACUUUUGCUUGAGACACAGGCCAAGAAUCAUCCUCUCUCCUCACUGGACUUGAAACUGUGAGGCUCUGAGUCUGGAGCGUCUGGCAAGAAGUGUGCUUCCCUGAGAAGCAGAGAGAUGGAGAUAAGGUGAGUUGUGAUGCUAUCAUCUGAGGCAGUACUUCUGGUCACACCUGCGGUCACCUGUUCCGGGACUUCUUCAGUUUCAAGAGCUGAUAUAUUUAGGUUUUUUUUUGUUUGUUUGUUUUUUUUUGGCUUAAGCCAGUUUGAGUCAUUUCUUUUCUAUAACUGAAAGAGUUCUGAUUGAUACUAGAUGAUUGCUAGGUUGGUUUCAUAUUCCAUGUGGAAAAUUCUUGCUCUUUUAGAGAAGGGAGAGGGAAUCUAAGAAACCUUAGUGCCAGGAAAUUUUGCCUAGAAACAAACUAGUGGGCAUCUGGCCUGGUCAAGGGAGGCAGACCAGCUAGAAUUCAGAAUUAAAGUCUGUCUUAAACUAUCAUGAGAAUAUAUUAAUUCAAAUUAAAAUAUAUUAUUUUUAAGCAUUUGUGAUCAUUUAAAGUAUUUUGGGGGCUGGUGGCUCAGUGGUAAAGAAUCUUCCUGCCAAUGCAGGAAAUGUAGGUAUGAUCCCUGGGUGGGGAAGAUCUCCUAGAGAAGGAAAUGGCAACCUGCUCCAGUAUUCUUCCCUGGAAAAUCCCAUGGACAGAGGAGCCUGGCAGGCUACAGUCCACGGGGUCACAAAGUGUCAGACACAACAGUUUCCUCAACUGUAUAAUGGGCAUAUCCAGAGUGCCUAUCUCAAAUAAUCAUUAAGGUACAGCGAACAGAAUGUCUAAUACCUCCUCAAUAAAUAUAAGCUAUCACUAUUAAUAAUGCUCUGAACGGUUCUCUUGGGAUUGUGUGAUGCAUCAUAUUAUAUCUCUGAACCAGAACUAAGAGUCAAAAUAGUGUAAACUAGAAGUACAAGCUCUCCAGAAAGAAGAUAUUAGGGUUUUUAAAUAUUCCUUAGGCUAACUAGGAUUUGUUUGCUAGCUCUUUCAAGUUGAUAAGUAAAGGGAAAUCUAAGAACUGGUUGUUUUCUUCUAUUUAGUGAAGGACAAAGUUAUCUAAUGAUUGUUCCUCUUGCUGCCCUAAGUUGUCAAUGACAGUCCCUCUCCUGAUGGAAUUAAGAGUUCAGACCCAGCUUUACCUCCUGGGCACUUAAAAACACAAUGAAAAACAAAAACCACAGCACAAAUCCAAACCUCAUCACAUUCAGUUUCUUUACUUAGUACUAAGGGUAGGAACUCUUAGCUCCAUUUUAUAGGUGCGAAAACGCAGUCUCAGAAAGGAAGGACUGUUGAGGAACACACAGCUCGUACGCGGUGUAGCUGGGAUGUGGCUGCCCUCUUAGCCACCGCAUGUUCCACCCUUGCCUCUGAACUCUCCAGUCUAGCAGGGUGAAGUCCCCACCCUCCGGCUCCUGAGCCCACAUGUGUUCAGUAUAGGUCUGAGAGCAUCAGCAGGCCUCGUUCCUAAGAGUUAGUUCCCCCACGGCCAUCUGAAAGGCUGGUAGUGGGAUUUUCCACUAGCAAACUACAGGCUGUGGGAGCAGAGCUGGAUCACUCUGAGGAAAAAAGAUGUCUUUCCUGGGAAGAAUUGUUCUAUUCUUAUUACAUCUGCCUGCUGCUCUGAAAAUUUGGAGAUGUCUCACUGUGGAAGGACAGCCACUCUUCCCUAGUGAACCUCUCAAUAAUUGAUUUGAUUAUAUGUAGUUAAUAUAGAAACCAGAUGUAGGUAAAAUGUACCUACUCUUUUUUUUUAAUGCUGAAAAGGGGGAAAUAGAGAUGUUUAUUUGAAACAAAUGAUUUAUUUCACAUGAAUUUUUGUAUAGAUGACAUGCCUUGUUCUAUGAUGAAUUUAUUUAUAAGAUGAAUUUAAAACAGUGGUAAUAAACACCUUCCAUCACCCUUACCAUCUUUGAAGUGUCCCCUAUCACAAUGAUGGCUGUUAUCUGAGGUCUGUUGUUACUGUUAGAUGUUAUUAUUGGCUUGCCUUGUCUCCCUGUGGUGUGUGUGUGGUAUGGGGGGGUGGUGUCACUUCGUGACAAUAUAAAUUAACAAAAGGUAUGAGCAGAGACUGAAACAGCAUCGAACAAAUGAAUACUAGUGACCCUCAUCACAUACCAAAGACCAGGUGUGUGUUCUCGAAGAGUCAGGACCACCACACUCACUGCACAACAUCAAGGGCCCAUUUGCAUCAGAUUCAGACAUCCAAGGUUCCUUAGAAGCCAAAGGGGACUGUGCUCGGAUAUGAUGGAGAGGGAAGGGCUGAAAUGUGGUGGAGGUGCACGUGUGUGGCUUCUUGGCUGCUCAGAGUUCAGUUACCCUAUUUCUAAUAGCUCCUCACUUUAACUGGGAAUCUACUCUUCUCCUACUCCAAAUGUAGGUAGAGCUAAUUUCACCCCCAGCUCUAAAGGUACCUGUGACCCAGGUCCGACCAGUCAUCUUCCCCUGACUGCAGAGACGGGUCAUGACAAGCCACUAGGACUCACAUUCCUUGGUUGAAGCUUCUGAGAUAGAGCCUGACAGAGAGACUUAGCCUGAGUACAGGCUGGCCUGCUCCUGAGAAAUUUCUGAGCUUUUGGGCCCAAGUGUAAAACUGUUUUGAUUU